rnacentral:misc_RNA from 1 species
GAUGAAGAACGUAGUGAAAUGCGAUACGUAAUGUGAAUUGCAAAUUCAGUGAAUCAUCGAGUCUUUGAACGCACAUUGCGCCCCCUGGUAUUCCGGGGGGCAUGCCUGUCCGAGCGUCAUUGCUGCCCUCAAGCACGGCUUGUGUGUUGGGCCCCGUCCUCCGAUCCCGGGGGACGGGCCCGAAAGGCAGCGGCGGCACCGCGUCCGGUCCUCGAGCGUAUGGGGCUUUGUCACCCGCUCUGUAGGCCCGGCCGGCGCUUGCCGAUCAACCCAAAUUUUUAUCCAGGUUGACCUCGGAUCAGGUAGGGAUACUCGCUGAACUUAAGCAUAUCAAUAAGCGGAGGA